GCAAAGUCUGGCCUGCCCACUGAUAAUUUUUUAAAGGGCCGCGGUAUUUUGACCGUGCGAAGGUAGCAUAAUCAAUAGUCUUUUAAUUGGAGGCUUGAAUGAAUGGUUGGACGAGAAGUAGACUGUCUUUAUUAUAAAUAUUGAAUUUUACUUUUAAGUGAAAAGGCUUAAAUGGAUUUAAGGGACGAAAAGACCCUAUAAAACUUAAUAGGUUUCUUUGUUUUUAAAAUUGGAGUAUAAUGAAACUUUAAAUUAAUCUUAUUUGGUUGGGGCGACUAAGAUAAAAUAGGUAACUGUUUUAAAAUUAAAAUAAUUAUAAUUUGUUAUUUGAUCCUCUAGUAGGGAUUAUAAGAGAAAGUUACUUUAGGGAUAACAGCGUGAUUUUUUUUGAGAGUUCUUAUCAACAAAAGUAGUUGCGACCUCGAUGUUGAAUUAAAAUUUCUUUUAAAUGCAGAAGUUUAAAGAGUAGGUCUGUUCGACCUU
rnacentral:rRNA from 1 species